UGGGGAAUAUUGGACAAUGGGCGCAAGCCUGAUCCAGCCAUGCCGCGUGAGUGAUGAAGGCCUUAGGGUUGUAAAGCUCUUUUACCAGGGAAGAUAAUGACGGUACCUGGAGAAUAAGCCCCGGCUAACUUCGUGCCAGCAGCCGCGGUAAUACGAAGGGGGCUAGCGUUGCUCGGAAUCACUGGGCGUAAAGCGCACGUAGGUGGGUCGUUAAGUCAGGGGUGAAAUCCCGGAGCUCAACUCCGGAACUGCCUUUGAUACUGGCGAUCUUGGAGUCCGGGAGAGGUAAGUGGAACUGCGAGUGUAGAGGUGAAAUUCGUAGAUAUUCGCAAGAACACCAGUGGCGAAGGCGGCUCACUGGCCCGGUACUGACACUGAGGUGCGAAAGCGUGGGGAGCAAACA
rnacentral:rRNA from 1 species